rnacentral:misc_RNA from 1 species
GUGGGAGGGGGCUUGCUCCCGAUGGCGGUGGGUCAGCAAAAAAUGUUUGCUUGACACAUUGCUAUCGGGAGCAAGCCCCCUCCCAC